UAUCUUUGGAAAUACCCCAAAGUCAUGUGGAUUCAAGUUGGAGGAAUCAGGUCUUUGGUAUAAUCCUAGGAAGUAGGCAGAAUAUGGAUUGAUGCCCUUUUUACAGGGGAAAACAAUCUCAAGAAGAGAAAUGGGGACACCUGGGCUCCAGGUCCUCUGUGGAAGAAGUGCUGGAGAGGGUCUGAUGAGCAC